CCCGCGCAUGCUCUAUGGGGUAGAGACGCUAGGCCGGCACUGCCUAGGUGGGCCGGGCGGUGCGAGGGUCGCCUUUCAGCCUUUACCUCUACCCACUGAAAUGGAGUAGGUCGGUGAGCGCCGAUCUGCUGGAGAAUCUCAUUAUCCCAUCGGCGCUCUGCCUGCUCCUGGCCUCCAAGCCUCUGAAGCCCCUCGGGUUUCAGCUGCCGGCUACCCUCGAGCCCGUGGUGCCCACGAGAGAGGCGACUUUACGUCAGCGGCCCUGGGCUGAGAUUUGAGAACGCGACCAAGUGGAGAAUGUUGGAGCCAGAUUUUAAAAUCCUUGUCUUCCUUCUGCGUGCUACUUGAUCUAAAUGAGAUACGGCAAAGUCACAGAACCUGUUUUUAUGUUUUUGCCUGAUUCAUACGGGCUUCUCCGGUGAAGAUGGGCCUGAAGUAACGCUUGGGUUGCUUCUGACGUUAUAACUCAUCCUGUAGCUGCAGCAACCGUGGUCCUUGCAACCUCAUAAAAAUGUUGCCAGCAUUGUUUCGAUAGUGCUGCUUAAUUCUUGGAAGGUUCUUCGGACUUCACACAUUCCAGCAGUAGCUCUCUCAGCUCCUGUCCUGCACAGCUUUGAAGUGCUGGUGAUGUCAUUGAACUCUUAAGUGCAAGAUGAAACAAGUCUUUCUGGGGUUCUAAGUAGCACCGCCUGAGAUGUGAUGGUGAGCUGAGCUGUACCUGAAUCCUGAGCUGCCCAGCCCAGGCAGGAAGCACACUGGCGAUCUCUUUCCAUCGGGGGGCAGCUGCCCUAGGCUGGAAGUAUUUUAGCUCUGAAUCUGCUGUUAGAGGGUCUAUCAUUCUUUGUCAUUUUUUUCUCUCAGAUACUGCUCUUUUUAGUUUAGUUUUAUUUAUUAAUAUCUUCCUACUGUGGUGCUUAACGUCUCCUUUCCCCCUCCUCCAAGGGUGAGAGGUCUGGUUGAAAGAUCUCUACUAGCUACGCAGUAAUUUUUUUAUAAUUCUUCCUUCCUUCAAAUGUGUCUUUUUGUGACCCAAUCGAACGCUGGCAAUGAAGUUCCUUAUCUCCAUUUGACUUGUGCAUGAAGCCAACACUCAGAAAUCCUACUUCAUCCCUUACCUUUUCUCUUUGUAGCUAACCCAAAAUGUGUUCAGUUUUACUAAAAGCUGAAGCUCUCCACAAACUUCUGAGUAUAGUGUACUCUGGCCGAAAUGGCAGCCACUUUUUCAAUAUUUUUCAUGUUAAUUACAUUUAACUACACUUAGUUUCAUGAAAUUGAAAUUUACAAAAAAGGAGGAAAAAACCAUGGGGUGGGGGUGGGGAAAUGUGGUAAAUUAUAUUUUUAGAGAAAUACCAGAAGUAGUUUUGUUUUAUUUCAAAAAAAAGUAAUUAAAAAUCGUUUAAAUCAUUCAUAACUUCUAUAAAGUUCUUUUCUAGCUUCUGUUUGACAUAAAAAUAACAAGAUAAUGAGUCGUGGGCCCGGGGAACCAGAAAUCUUGGCUGUUGAUCUGGUAUUUGUGGCUCUAUUGCUGAUUGGUAUAGAAGUGAACUUAUGUGACCAUAAAGGUGAAUGCAGUCAAAAUGGUCAGACAUGCAGUCAACUCUAAAGAUGUUGUGAUAGGGGCCGAAAGUCAAGAAAUAAACUUUAGUAGAUUACUGUGUGAUGGAGAAGAAAUUAUGAGAAGAAAUGCACCUGAAGUGGUCUCAGGGAUUUGUUUCACAUUAAAAAAAUAUACUUUAUUUUUUAGAGCAGUUUGAGGUUCACAGCAAAGUGAAAUAGAAAAUACAGAGAUGUCUCACCUACCCCCUACCCCCGCCAUGCACAGUUUCCUCCAUUAUCAUCAUCCCUAGCCAUAGUGAGAAUUUGUUACAAUUAGGGAACCUGCUUUGGCACAUCAUUAUCUCUCAAAGCACACAGUUUACAUUAGGGUUUUCUCUUGGUAUUGUACAUUCUCUGUUUUUUGACAAAUGUAUAAUGUCAUGUGUCUACCGUUAUAGUAUCAUACAGAAUAGUUUCACUGCCCUAAAAAUCUUCUGUAUUCUGCCUAUUCAUCUCUCUUUUUCUUUCCCCAAACCCCUGACAACCAUUGAUCUUUUUACUCUCUCCAUAGUUUUGUCUUCUCCAAAAUGUCAUAUAGUUGGAAUCGUACAGUAGUAGGUAGCAUUUUAGAGCAGCUUCUUUUACUUAGUAAUAAGCAUUUGUGUCAUUCAUGUAUUUUCAUAGUCUGAUGGCUCACAUCUUUUUGGCAUUGAAUGAUAUUUCAUUGUCUAGUUGUACCACAGUCUACUUAUCCAGCCAUCUACUGGAGGACAUCUUGGUUGCUUCCAAGUUAUGGCAAUUAUAAAUAAAGCAGCUAUACGUGUCCAUGUGAAAGUUUUGUGUGGGUGUAGGUUUUCAACUCACUUUGAAAAAUACCAGAGUGUGAUUGCUGGAUUGUAUUUCACUUUUCAGUUCUGUUUGUGAGUGUUAUUUUAAAAAGAUGCUAUAGGAUAUGCUGCCCUGCACAGAAUAGGUAGAUAGGAACCAGGCAAACGGAAUGUUAUCUGAGGCUCAUUCAUGUCAGUGUUCACUCCUGCAAUGCAGAGUAAAAUCUCUAGUAUAUAGUUAUAGUUUACAAUAACUGGAAGUAGGUUUCCAGGAAUAGGACAGGAUUGACAUGGAUUUUUGAUGCUGCUAUUACUCCUCUACAUUUCUAGCAGAAAAGGGGAAAAUUAUGUCUGGCUGGGCACUGGAAUUGCUUUAACAACCUCAUAGUCUUUCUGAGGCUUCAUAAAUUACAAAUAAGCUCUUGAUGGUUUGAUAUCCUGACCUUUGGAAAUGUUAUUUCUUCUAUUAAAAUAUUAAAUAAAACAAUGUUUUAUUUGAUCUACAUUGGCUACAGCAAAA
rnacentral:lncRNA from 1 species